rnacentral:lncRNA from 1 species
GAGAGGAGUUCCAGUCGUCGUCGCCGCUGCCACUGCCCGUGUGUGCCGCGUCAGUCAUGCCGGUAAGUGGCCGUUCGACCCGCGGGAACUUCUGUCUCCAGCCCGGAUGCACUGUUUCCGAGCCCGACGCUGCUGUCAGGGCGCAGGCCGUGGCCAGAGCUGCAGUCGUUUCUCAGUUUACCUUCCGCACGGUCCUCCGGCUUCGGGACCCUCCGGAAAGCUGCAGAGAGCAGUGUAGUGCAGAACACAGGCCUCCGGAUCGCCCUAGAGAGUCUUCGAGAGGCAGCCCCAUCCUUUUCUGCAUAAUGGGGAAACUGAGGCAGGGAGGUAGGGCAGAGAACCCAUAUAGGAAUGCGGGUACCUGGCCUUUCCACAUGCAUACCCUGCCGCCUGCAGGCUUUCCAGAGAAGCAUGUCUCUGUUCAUCUCUCCUGCCCACACUGCCCUGCUUCCACUUCAGCACUGGGCCGACAGGGUACUUUCUUCCCCAACCAGGAAUCCCAAAGCUCAGAGCAGAGUUUAAGGAGCCGAGAGCAGCGCUUAUCUUGCCUUUGAAAUCACCCCACUCCUUUGCAUGGCGGCUUCUAGUCUCAUUGCUUAAUUUAAAAUGAAGGCCUUACAUGAGGCCUUGGCACAUUACACAAGAAGAGAAGAAAAACCCCAGUGCUUGCUGGAAAGCGUUUAUUGUUGGGAGCUAGCUAGGUAGGUAGGAUACAAGAUGGAGCCAGACCACCUGGGAAGUGCUGGGCAAAACCAGUUGUACUUGUUUGGGGGCAAGCUCUAAUCUCAACUGAGUUCCGGAGAUGCUGGUCUAGAGUUGUGGAGUGGAGAGCAUUUUCCUCCCAGUGCCUCUCAACCCAGAGGUCUCCCAGGAGUAUUCUGUGUUUUAGCAGCUUAUCUUCUGGGAAUGAACCUGAGGCUUCUUCCUGGUACAAAUCCUUAAACCUCUCAGGUGUCAUUCUUGUGGUUCCUGCCCAUUGUCUUCAGACCCUGUCUGCACAAAGCACAGACC